rnacentral:tRNA from 1 species
GCGGAUGCGCCGACGCUGGAGAGUCGGGCCCGGCUGUAACCCGGGUGCCUUCGGCUGAGUGGGUUCGAAUCCCUCCGUCCGCAC